GCCAGGCUCGGUGAUGCACACCUGUAAUCCCAGCAACUCAAGAGGCUGAGGCGGGAGGAUCACUUGAGCCCAGAAGUUCACGGUCAACCUGGGCAACACAAUAAGACCCCCCACCUCCA
rnacentral:sRNA from 1 species